rnacentral:tRNA from 1 species
UCCGAGGUAGCUCAGCGGUAGAGCAGUCGGCUGUUAACCGACCGGUCGUCAGUUCGAAUCUGACCCUCGGAG